GUAAAUUUACCCCUUUAAGAGGCUUUCAUAAAUCCCAGAACACACCUUCAGCCAGAUUUGAAUAUAGAUUUAGGUUUUAAAACCCAGAAGCUGGGAACACCGCUUUAUCAAAGAGAAUUUCCCUUUAGCUUAGCAAUGUGUCGGAAUGGCUCUUGCAAAGAUUGGAUCUGCGAGGGGGAAAAAGGGGGAACCUUCUUUCCUGGAGCAAUCCUGCACACACUCUGCAGCUGCCUCUGCCUUCAACCUUCUGCAGCUCGGGGAAAAGUUACCAAAAAAAAAAAAUUUGAUAAUCAUUGUUGCAGCUGUAGGAUCUCGAUUUAAAAAAAAAAAAAAUACAAUUUUUUACUAAUUUUUUUUUAAACUUUCCCGUCUCUUCUGGUCCGUUUGGAGAGCGUUGCAGAGCAGGUACAGCCCCAGAGAUCCAGACUAGCCGGGGCUGGAGGGGAGUGAGUGGAGAUGUGUGAUUUUCUGCCCUCUGAGAACUUUACGCUCAGAGAACCCAAAUCCGCUUCUGGGAUGAAAAGAGAAACUGUAACUUCUGCUUCUCAGGGCUGUGGGAGCCUUGUCCCGCCUGGAAUUUAUGGACUGGUGGGUGCAGCUGCAUUUGUGGGAGGAGAACCUGCAUGGAGAACCAAGGGCAAAGAUGAAGGCAGGAUUCAAGUCUUCCCUCCAUAUGUGCUGUUCCACCGUGGAGGAGAUGUGGAGCUCAUCCCAGCUCUGGAAGAGAUUUUGGGGCUCUCCAAGAUGAUCCUGAUUCAUGCUGUGGAUCCAAAUCAUUCCUUAGCCAGAGAUCAGCUUGUGGGCCUUUCCAAACCAUUCCUGGUGGGGAGAAACCAGAGGUGUUGGUGGAAGAAUGGCUUGUGGGAUGCAGAAGGAAAUUCCUGCCUGAGCUCCUGAACCAUGACACCCUCAGAGGGCUCAUCCAGAACCUCAUUCCCUGCUCUCAUCCUGUGACUGGAGGCCUCCUGGAGCUGGUGGGCCCUGCUAGGAGAGCAGAUUGCUCAGGUGAGGCUUUCUCCUGCAGUUUCUAAUAUCUGAACGUGCAAUGAGAGACAUGGACAAUUCCGGCCCCAAAUACCCAUCCCCAAAUCAAGCCUGGUACUAAAUGGGAAAGAAAAAACUGUAUCUCCCCAUCUCAACGCAUUUUUAAUCAGUGAAAAUGCAUUCUAACAUGCCUUUGAAGAAGACCUCCCCUGACUUGCUUCAUCACUGGCAACAGAAUCCAUCCCUAUCCACCCAGGGCAAAAAGAAAACAUUUAAAAAAAACCCUCCUUAUUUUCUUUUCCCCUCGCACAUUUUCAAUUAAAAUAGAUUUAUGCAAG
rnacentral:lncRNA from 1 species